UCUUUAAUGGAGAGUUUGAUCCUGGCUCAGGACGAACGCUGGCGGCGUGCCUAAUACAUGCAAGUCGAGCGGGGUUAUUUA
rnacentral:rRNA from 1 species